rnacentral:rRNA from 1 species
CGGAGCUAUGUUGAAAGCUUGCUGGAUAUAUAGCUUAGUGGCGGACGGGUGAGUAACACGUGAGCAACCUGCCUUUCAGAGUGGAAUAACGUUUGGAAACGAACGCUAAUACCGCAUAACGUCAGAGGAUGGCAUCAUUCUUUGACCAAAGAUUUAUCGCUGAAAGAUGGGCUCGCGGCCGAUUAGGUAGUUGGUGAGAUAAUAGCCCACCAAGCCGACGAUCGGUAGCCGGACUGAGAGGUUGAACGGCCACAUUGGGACUGAGACACGGCCCAGACUCCUACGGGAGGCAGCAGUGGGGGAUAUUGCACAAUGGGGGAAACCCUGAUGCAGCGACGCCGCGUGAGGGAAGACGGCCUUCGGGUUGUAAACCUCUGUCUUCGGGGACGAAUAAAUGACGGUACCCGAGGAGGAAGCCACGGCUAACUACGUGCCGGCAGCCGCGGUAAUACGUAGGUGGCAAGCGUUGUCCGGAAUUACUGGGUGUAAAGGGAGCGUAGGCGGGGAGGCAAGUUGAAUGUCUAAACUAUCGGCUCAACUGAUAGUCGCGUUCAAAACUGCCACUCUUGAGUGCAGUAGAGGUAGGCGGAAUUCCUAGUGUAGCGGUGAAAUGCGUAGAUAUUAGGAGGAACACCAGUGGCGAAGGCGGCCUACUGGGCUGUAACUGACGCUGAGGCUCGAAAGCGUGGGUAGCAAACAGGAUUAGAUACCCUGGUAGUCCACGCCGUAAACGAUGAUGACUAGGUGUGGGGGGACUGACCCCUUCCGUGCCGGAGUUAACACAAUAAGUAAUCCACCUGGGGAGUACGGCCGCAAGGCUGAAACUCAAAGGAAUUGACGGGGGCCCGC